CUGGGAUCAAAGGCAUGCGCAACCACUGUCAGGCUUCGCCGUCUUAUUUCUUUAGGACGAGUCUUUUGCUGGAUCUGGGGCUUUAUUGUCUGGCCAACAGAUAGCCAUCUCUUUCCACCUCCCCAAAACUGGGGCUCGGAGCACACCGCAUCGUUCCUUACGUGGGUGCUGGGGAUUGAACUCAGGGCUUCUUGCUUGCAUCUUUUUACGCGUUUGGUGCCCUAAUCCAUAUCCCAACAGCCACAGAAAACCAUCACACUGGAUCUUCACUUUAUAGACCCACAUAGGGAGGUUAGUUAGGCCCCACUUUAGUCCUCCAGGAAUAGGAGAUUAAGUCCAGGUCUACUGCUCAUUAUUGGCAUUCAUAAAAGUGUUAAUUAUCUUCCUGUGCCUCAGCUUUCCCAGCUGAGAAAUGGGGCUAACGAUAAUACCUACCUCCCUCUCCCUCUGAGGAUUAAAUGUUUUCACGCCUGUCGAAUGAAGCCUAGAACGGUGUGGGACUUGGGGACAAGCCAACAUUUGCUCUAGUCCUACCCCCCCUGGUCCGGUCCACUUCAGCUUUUACAAGUCACCUCCCUUCCAUCAGCAUAUUCAAAUGGGCAGCUUCCUACACCAGGCAGGUGUCCUCUGGAGCUAGAGCUGAAAGGUUUGCAGACAGUAUCCUCCCUAGCGGGUCAUCUUGGAGAGCACUUUCUCCCGGCUCUGGAUGAGGAAGGCAGGACUGCUCUGCUGUGUUCCUGAAGAGAUCUUUCAGCUUCCUGAAACCACGUCUGGCUCAGAAUCACUGCUUAGUCCCCGCCAGCAAGGACCACACUCAGGCAUUCCAGACGUUAGUGUAACCCUAAGUGUCGGAAUCUGUGGUUUUGAAGGCAACACCUCGUCCUGCAGUCUCUGUUGGCAGCUGCGGGGGGCUUCUCAGAGGAACCGGUUUAAUGGAAGCUAAGUUAGAGGGGCUUCUGCAUGAGCAGGCAGUUUGAUGGAAGCUAAGACUCACUCUGUAGACCUUUGCCAGUCUCUGUCCUCCAAGUGCUGGGAUUGAAGGCAUGCUCCCUGGCUACCAGAGUUCAAAGUCUAAGUAAGUGGUUGGGAAAAAAACAAGCAAAGCGACAAGUGUUCAUGUCACAAAAGAGGCUUGAAGAGUGUGAAUGAGGAAAUCAGGCAAAAGUCUGAAAGUUUGUUUAAGAGGAGAGAACUAUAUUAGUCAGGUUCUCUAGAGUCACAGAAUUUAUGGAACGAAUAAAGUGAGCUUAUGGAAUCGCUUACAGUCUGCGGUCCAACUACCCCAACAAGGGGCAGCUGCGCAGGGAGAGUCUAAGGAUCUAGAAGUGCUCAGUCACAGGAGGCCGGUGUCUCAGCUGGUCUUCUGUAUAAGCUGGAAUCCUGAAGAAGUAGGUUCGACAGAUGCACUGGCAAAGUUUGUGCAAGCAGGUGGAGAGCAAUUGAACCCUUCCUCCUUCCACUGUCCUUAUGUGGGUCUCUAGCAGGAGGUAAGGACCAGAUUAAAGGUGAGCCUCAAGAUCUGGAUUAAAGGUCUGCAUUGAUCCGGAUGAAGAGCCUAGGUCAUCCCACCUUAAGACCUGGAUCAAAAGCUUGUGUCUUCCUGCCCCAAGAUCCAGGUCACAAGUGUGCUGUCCCUUUCUGGAUUGUAGUUCAUUCUAGUUAUAGUCAGGUUGACAACCAAGAACAGCCACCACAAAAGCCAAACAUAUUUUUCUAAGAAAUCGACUCCAGCAAGAGCCAGCCCAUUCCUACUGUAAAAACCAUAAACCCAUUAGUUCUGCCCUAAUGACCUAAUUACUUAUUUUUGUUUUGAGGUACGGUCUCUGCUUCAGCUUUCAAGCACUACGGUUCCAGACGUAUAUAACUAAUGAUUUCUUAGAGGUCCCACCCCACUCUCAACAUUGUUGCACUGGGGAUUAAAUUUCUGGCACAUAAACUGAUACAAACCAACGGCACCAGAGCAGAUCUAAGAGUCUUUCUCAGGAGCUCAGCGGUGGAAGCACUCGUCUCUCAGGGAAGUUUAGCUUCCAGGGAAACAGAAGAAUGACCUGACACAUCUGGAGGAAUGUCCGUAUCAGCCAGGAAGCAUAAAACGUCAUCUGUGGACUGUGAACAAGACUCUGUGGUCUGUGAACAAGAGACUAAAAUACUUCUUUUACCUGGCAAUUCAAAUGGAGGGCACAGAUGUAUUUUUAAGUAUCCAGCGCCCUCUGCUGUUGGCAGCUAGAAAUGCACAAAGAGAUCAAUUUCAUUAAAAACAUUAUUUGUGUGUGUA
rnacentral:sRNA from 1 species